GCGUCGGUGGUGCAAUAGUUCAGCGCGCCCUUCCGUAAAGAGUGAGUCUGAGUUCGAAUCAUGGCUGACGCA